rnacentral:rRNA from 1 species
GAUGAACGCUAGCGGCAGGCUUAAUACAUGCAAGGCGAGGGGGCAGCAAUGUCACCGUCGUACGGGUGCGUAACGCGUAUGCAACCUACCUAUCACUGGGGGAUAGCCCGGGGAAACCCGGAUUAAUACCGCAUAACACAGGGGUCCCGCAUGGGUACUAUUUGUUAAAGAUUUAUCGGUGGUAGAUGGGCAUGCGUUCGAUUAGCUAGUUGGUAUAGGUAACGGCUUACCAAGGCGACGAUCGAUAGGGGAGCUGAGAGGUUGAUCCCCCACACGGGCACUGAGAUACGGGCCCGACUCCUACGGGAGGCAGCAGUAGGGAAUAUUGGGCAAUGGAUGCAAGUCUGACCCAGCCAUGCCGCGUGCCGGAUGAAGGCCCUCAGGGUUGUAAACGGCUUUUAUUCGGGAAGAAGAGCGGGGAUGCGUCCUUGUGUGACGGUACCGAAUGAAUAAGCACCGGCUAACUCCGUG